rnacentral:rRNA from 1 species
UACGUAGGGUGCAAGCGUUAAUCGGAAUUACUGGGCGUAAAGCGUGCGCAGGCGGUUUGAUAAGCCAGAUGUGAAAUCCCCGAGCUCAACUUGGGAACUGCGGUGGGAACUGUCAGACUAGAGUGCGGCAGAGGGGGGUGGAAUUCCGGGUGUAGCGGUGAAAUGCGUAGAGAUGCGGAGGAACACCGAUGGCGAAGGCAGCCCGCUGGGAUGACACUGACGCUGAGGCACGAAAGCGUGGGGAGCAAACAGG